UUAUUCAAGAAAUUAAAGUAAUGAGAAGAAAAGCGCGUUUUACAGUGUUUCCUUGGUUUUGCAACAGUUAACAUGGCGUUAAUCUUAGUAAUGUAAAUGGUGAUGAAAAGGUAUGUGGACUGAAUCUUCAAAAGCUAAUUGUUGCUAGUUUUAUUUUGUUGCUAUGGUUAUUUCCUUAAAUGUAUUUUUAUUCUAACUAUUUAAAGUAAUGAGAGGAUAAGAGUGUUUUACCAUGCUUACAUGAUUUUCACCCCCUGACAUAGCAUUUGCCCUAGUAAUGUAAAUGAACGAUAAAGGUGUGAAGCACUCCUGUCUACAACAAAUGGAAGCAGACUUUAGGUUGUCUUCAACACCUCACUGUCUCAGGGGAAGGCAUGGGAACUUUAUUUGUCACGGGGUAUACAAUUUAGUUUGACGUAGUGGUUAUUUUCAUUAGAUUUUUACUCUUAUUCUGUUUCUAAAUAGAAAAGGGGGGUAAAAUACCUGUGUUUACCAUUCUUCCUUGGUUUUCACCAGCUAGCAUAGCAUCUUUCUUAGUAACUUUUUGAAUAGACUUUUUAUUUUCUCACAAAGGCAAACAAGUUCUCAUUUAAAGCACUGUAGUGUCACUAGUUUUUUAGUGUACUUUUAAAUGUGUGUCAUAUAAAUCUUAUACGGGUAAGGAAAAAAGAAACUCACAGGAAAUCAAUGAACAAAGUUAGUUUCUAACAAGAAUAUUCGUAUGCGGAAAGAAGAUGAGGAUAAAAAGAGGUGUUAAACUUUUAUUUCCUUUACAAAAGAAAGAGGGAUACUCCCCAACGAAUGACGACACGUGGUAGGCGGGGGUUAUUUCCUAUAUAGACAAGCAUUUCUGCCACUGUCAGUAUAUCGCUGUGUUUUCGUUGCGAUCUGCAGACUGCUGUUACGCCGCUGAACGCAUCUACAUUCUUUGAAAAAUGGCUCUUGUUUCUGUGUUUUAAAACAGCAUUGACCUGGGAAUCUCCUGACUCCUGAAGAAAGAGACCCCGCUUCUUAGUAGAGAGACAUUUGUUUGAUGAAAUACCGGGGCCAUCAUCAGCAAAACAUUCUCCGGCCAAAAAACUGAGAGAAUCUCCUGCCAAAACUCCUGGGAAACACGGAUUAUAUAGUAUUUUCCAAAAAAAAGCCCCAAGUCUCAGAUGGUGGUCGCAGGAUUCUUUUCGCAAGACGAGAAGGAUCUGCAAAAGCCCCAGAGAAAGUCGGAGCAGCUACGUGUGAACCAUCGAUUGUGAUCUCGGACACUCCAGAGGGCGGUCUUGAGACUUCAACAAGGGUCGCAGUGCCAUCCACCCCGGCAUUGAGAGAGGUGGUAGAGCUAAUAACCCCAGGCCAUUCUCUGCUCAAACCAAAUUCUGAAGCUGAAGAUCUCUCGGGCUUACUGGACUGGACGGAUUCGCAAAUUCACAGAUGGGAUGAAUGUGACUUCUCCAAGCUAUCACCCAGUAAGAGUUCUGACAUUUCAUUGCAGGGGUUGAGUAAUCAGAUACAAUCAAAUUCCUCAAGAGUGGUUGAUGCCUGUAAAUGUAGUGUGUUGACAAAUAAUUUAUUGGAAAAAUCAGAGCAAUUAUUUAAGUGGGAGUUAAAACUUUACCAAAAAACUUUAGAAAUUCAAAAAGAAUUAGUUAACGUCCGUAAAUAUCUACAAAUACUAAACAAUAGGAUUGGAUAAGCUCAAUAAAUUUUGACACUAGUGACCCGUUUAUUAGCAUUUGAAACCGUCUGAUUUUGUUAUUUCAUUUGUAUUGUUUAAUCAUGUCACGUAAAUGUACAAGCAAAUCAAAAUAUGGCAGGCGAUGCGAAAUUGUCAUGAGUGAUGAUGAAUAUGUUAGUGAAAACAACUCAUCAUCUCCCCUCAAAAGUUGGUCGGAUGUAGAGAAAGAAUUUGAAAAAUAUAACACAGAUUCAGACAGCGACUACAAUUGGCUUGAAAAUGAGAUUUUUUUUUUUGAAAAAAAAUUCAAAGAAUUAGAAGAAAAUGGAGUCAAAACUUUAGAAGAAGAGGACUUUGAAAUGACCCCGGCUGAGAUUCUUGAUGUUUUGCAAAAUAUUGGUAUACUAAAAAGAGAUGCCUCAGAGUUUAUUGAAUUGGAUGAUAUGCAAUCUCCUCAAACGGGUGGUGAUACAAUGCGUAGAGGACAACACAACUCACACUCUUUACACUCAAACCCCCGAACACUCCAAACUGCAAACACUGUUUUUACAGCAAGUACAACACAAACGGUUUAGUGUUGAAUUGGCUGAUCUUAUAAAAAGGGCGGGAGGGUCGCGCGAUACAUUCAGGAUUAUUAUGAGAAAGAGGGGAUACAUCUCAAUCCUGAAAAAAUCACUGUCAACAAAGCCGUGCGAAGCAUCAACAAAUUGUUGCUUAAUUCUUUGUGGGGUCAUUUUUCAAUGCGUGAAAAUCAGGCUACAUGCGAAUUGAUGACAGACCCUGAACAAUUUGCCUGCUACAUGUUUAGCGAUCAAUACGAUGUUAGACAGUUUUCAUUUGUAUCUGAUCAUGUGGCACUUGUUCAGUGGAAGCAUGCUGUAGGACAAUCGGCAAAAACCAAAAACAUAAACAUCUUCAUCGGCGCCAUGACAACAGCAUAUGCACGGAUCAUGCUGUACGAUUUUAAUGGAUCGAUUAGGGGAGAGGUGUAUCUAUUCUGAUACAGACAGUGUGGUCUUUGUAUCAAAGGCUGGAGAUUGGAUUCCUGAGACAGGUCCUUUUCUCGGUGACUUGACAGAUGAGGUUAAUGGAGACAGUGGCGGUGACGACUACAUUGUAGAAUUUGUGUCAGGAGGACCAAAAUGUUAUGCUAGAGACGUAGGAUUUUUUGAUUUCAGACUUCAACAUCCUUUUAGUUUGAUUGUAUCUGGUCCCUCAAACAGUGGGAAAACAUAUUUUGUAAGAACACUGGUUGAAAAUGUAGAGAAAUUAAUUUCUCAAAAAAUUGAAAAUAUUGUAUAUAUUUAUUCAUGUUGGCAACCUUUAUAUGAUAAUUUGUUAAAAAUAAGAGAUGUAAAUUUUGUUGAGGGUUUGCCACCAUCUUUAUGUGAUGAUUCUUUGUUACCUGUAAAUAAAAACAAUUUGUUAAUUAUUGAUGAUUUAAUGAGUGAUGCCAGCAACAAUGUAGAGGUGCAGAAUGUAGAUCACAGAAAUUUAAGUUGUCUAUAUCUUGUUCAAAAUUUAUUUUUGCAAGGAAAAGUCAGUAGGACCAUUAAUUUAAAUACCAAUUACCUUGUUUUGUUGAAAAACCCUCGAGAUAAAUCUCAAGUCAUGAUUAUGGCGAGACAAAUGUUUCCAGGGAAGAAUAAGUUUUUAUGGAAUGUUUUGAGGAUGCUACAAGCAUUCCUUUUGGAGCUUGAACGCCUGAUCAUCUGCGUCUCAGAACAGACUUGCUUUCAGACGUGCCUGUUGUCUAUGUCCCGAAAAACAAAUAAAAACAUGUCUGCACGAA